GCUGCCGUUGGCGGCCAGGGUACCGCCGAUGUUGGUGGCGGCGCCGACGAUCGUGGCGCUCAGGUCGCCCACGGCGGUG
rnacentral:tRNA from 3 species